rnacentral:rRNA from 1 species
AUUGAACGCUGGCGGCAUGCCUUACACAUGCAAGUCGAACGGCAGCACGGGAGCAAUCCUGGUGGCGAGUGGCGAACGGGUGAGUAAUAUAUCGGAACGUGCCCAGUCGUGGGGGAUAACGUAGCGAAAGCUACGCUAAUACCGCAUACGAUCUACGGAUGAAAGCGGGGGAUCGCAAGACCUCGCGCGAUUGGAGCGGCCGAUAUCAGAUUAGCUAGUUGGUGGGGUAAAAGCUCACCAAGGCGACGAUCUGUAGCUGGUCUGAGAGGACGACCAGCCACACUGGAACUGAGACACGGUCCAGACUCCUACGGGAGGCAGCAGUGGGGAAUUUUGGACAAUGGGCGCAAGCCUGAUCCAGCAAUGCCGCGUGCAGGAUGAAGGCCUCGGUUGUAACUAGCUUUUGUACGGUAACGAAACGGUAGAGCUCUAACUAAAGACUUAGCUAAUAGACGGUACCGUAACGAAUAAGACACCGGCUAACCUACGUGCCACG